GGGCGAUUAGCUCAGGUGGUUAGAGCGCGUCACUGAUAAUGACGAGGUCCCAGGUUCGAGUCCUGGAUCGCCCACCA
rnacentral:tRNA from 1 species